CUGUGAGAUUACAUAUGCAUAUGGUGUUAAUUCUAUAAGAAUGUAGUAUCAACUCACAAAGUUAUCAGGUUUAUAUACAGCUUUAUCCACUAAUAAAGAUGUUGUUGCAUGACUAAUGUCAUAUCAUAGCUUGACCACGGUAUCCAGUAAAAAUUAUUUUGCUGAGUAUCGUAGUAAAAGUUAGGAUACAAUGUUAAGACUUGUUUUGAGUCGUGCAGCAAUAUUAACAGCAAACUAAUACAAAUCUAUCUUUUAAAAGUUUGUAU
rnacentral:misc_RNA from 1 species